CCACAUGUUAUCAGCAUUCCUCUGUGAGAAACACCUGGGAGUACGCCAAUCAAAACUGUGCAAGCCAAGGAUCUCAUCUGGUGAUCUUCAAUGAUGAAGCAGAGGAGAGGACUGUGCGUAGUUUUGGACCAGCUGCCAAAGUGUGGAUGGGUUUGAGUGGUUACAAAGAUCCGUGCACCAACUCAUGGACGUGGACAUGGGUGGAUGGAGGCGCACUGUCUUAUGAAAACUGGAAUAAUCAGAACCCCAAUGAUUGGAGGUAUCAGACUUGGGCUUGUGCAUAUGUUGACCAAGGCUCGCGGCCCUUGAGGACCUGGUUCCUGGGGAUAUGUGAAGAACAGCACUACUGGGUGUGUGAGAAGAAGCUGCACACCUGAGCUGCUGGCCUGAAUAAGACUCGCACAACAAACCCAUCUGUCUCUGUGUCUCUAUAACUCACACAGACACCUUUUAUUCAAUUUAGCGCUCCUCAUCUGAACAUAAUGUCAUGAUCACUGUGUGCUUUUUAUUAUGUUAAAAACAUUUAAAUCUUUUAUUCUGUGGUUAUCGUUAUGGUGAUGUGAACACUUUGAACUCUUGAGUGGAAAUGGUCCUCCAGUGCCAACUUUGGUAUUGUUGCUUAUUGUGAUGUCAUUUCCUGGAGUACCUUUG